rnacentral:rRNA from 1 species
GUCCACGCCGUAAACGAUGUCAACUAGCCGUUGGGAGUCUUGAACUCUUAGUGGCGCAGCUAACGCAUUAAGUUGACCGCCUGGGGGAGUACGGCCGCAAGGUUAAAACUCAAAUGAAUUGACGGGGGCCCGCACAAGCGGUGGAGCAUGUGGUUUAAUUCGAAGCAACGCGAAGAACCUUACCAGGCCUUGACAUCCAAUGAACUUUCUAGAGAUAGAUUGGUGCCUUCGGGAACAUUGAGACAGGUGCUGCAUGGCUGUCGU